rnacentral:rRNA from 1 species
CCUACGGGUGGCAGCAGUGAGGAAUAUUGGUCAAUGGCCGUAAGGCUGAACCAGCCAAGUAGCGUGAAGGAAGAAGGAUCUAUGGUUUGUAAACUUCUUUUAUAGGGGAAUAAAGGUAUCCACGUGUGGAUAUUUGCAUGUACCCUAUGAAUAAGCAUCGGCUAACUCCGUGACAGCAGCCGCGGUAAUACGGAGUAUGCGAGCGUUAUCCGGCUUUAUCGGGUUUAAAGGGUGCGUAGGUUGUUUUUUAAGUCAGCGGUGAAAGUUUGUGGCUCAACCAUAAAAUUGCCGUUGAAACUGGAAGACUGGAGUGUGUUUGAGGUAGGCGGAAUGCGUGGUGUAGCGGUGAAAUGCAUAGAUAUCACGCAGAACUCCGAUUGCGAAGGCAGCUUACUAAGCCAUAACUGACACUGAAGCACGAAAGCGUGGGGAUCAAACAGGAUUAGAUACCCUUGUAGUC